CAGCAGUCAAAUUGCGUUUUAAAAACGUCAUCCUCAUCAUCAAACUCCACUCUUUUGUUCUGAACAUGAAGCUCAAAUAACCUCGCAAACCCAUCAACAUCGAUCGCACCUCCAAAAGUAUGCUAAACCCAGUAAAAUUUGGAAAGUUCAACGAAAGAAUUAGGGUAAGCUGGUGAAGUUUGGCAUUGUGUCUUUCCAAGAUCACAGUCAAUGUUUUAUCGCAGCAAAAACCACAAUCCAGCGAUAAAGAAGUCCCUAAAUACCACAACCUUGCCAAUUUGCGGUUUCGGCACUACCUCAUCACCAGGGGGCCUAGCAACACCCUCGGGAAAAU
rnacentral:lncRNA from 1 species